GCCGUGGUACGCGGCGCCGCGUGAUGACGUCACCCCCGGGAAACUCCGCGAAACCCGGAAGCGACAACGUCGGCGGGUGAGUGGGCGGAGCGAGGACGUUGGCGUCGGCAGCAGCGAGGAAGUGACGUGGGCAGCGAGCGCAGAAGAUGCGACCCCCACAAUCUUCGCCAUGUCGAGCCAAGAACUCUGCGCUCUGCUGGCCAGGCUCCCCGUGGACUGGGACGACACGGACGACGACGAGAGCACGGGAGACGAGAGUUGGGCUCCGCCCAUCGCGCCAGUCUGCGAUCGUCGCAAGGUCCGUGGGGACCCACGUCACUUCCAGGGGGGUGAGAAGCGGCAACAACAACGGCGGCGUUCCUCCAGCGAGGAGGUGGGCAGCCUCCAGCCCGAAUGGCCAGAGUACUGCCCAUGGGAGCUUAUCGCGCCAUGGGUCCAGGAUGUCCGCAGGGUGGACGACCCUUGGAGUCACCGGUGGGAGGACACGGAUGACGAAAGCGAUGAUGACGUGGAUUUUCGGUGGGCGGUCGGUGCCGGGAUGGCUCCGCCCAGCGUGCGCGUCCGAGAUCAUCGCGGCGUCCGUGAUGACCCAUGUGACUUCCGGGGGUACGAGGUUGACACGGACGACGACCAGGAUGACGCCGUUUGGGCAGUCGGUGCCGGGAUGGCUCCGCCCAUCGCGCCCAUCCAGGAUCGUCACGAGGUCCGUGGAGACCCACGUCCCUCCCAGCAGUGUGAGGAAAGCUGGUGGAAGAGGGCGACGGGAGGUCGCCAGCCAGCAACUGCGCUGCCGGGACUGCCUCGCAGGGAAUCCUCCAUUCCUGCUCCAGUCGCCGACCCGCCUUCCCUCUGCCCGGACGUUCCCCAGCAAAAUGGCAGCGCAGCACCAGCGUCCACACCUGCUGGAGAAGACGUCCACCCCCCUCCACACCACACACCUACCACCAUCUCCAGCGACGUGCCCAGCCCCGUGUGGGACAGCCCAAUUGUCCCGGGACCCUUCAGUGGGGCAGCAGACACAGACGAGAUCACUACCAUCCUCAAGUGUCUGACUGGAUCAGCAUGGGGCUGGAGCACAACCCUCUGGCAGCAGGGAGAGACAGACAGGAGUUUUCGGGACUUCCAACAGAGACUGAGGGCGGAGUUUGAUCGGCCUGAGCCAGGGAUCGAACUCUGCCCCUCCACCACAUCCAGUGCCAGUCAGGAUCCGGGGCAAGAAGACCCAGCACUGGUGGGCGACGAGAAGGUCGCUCCUCCCGAGAUCCUGGCUGUGCCCCCUGAGGAGGUCCCGGAGAGCCCAGAGAGGGAGCCAGACGACCCUCUCUUCUGUCUGUCUCUGUCUGUGUGUGUCUGUGUGGCAUAUGUGUCCGUAUGUCGCCCCCACUUCCCCUCUUUGUGUCCACCAGAUGGCGACCCAGCCGCGGAGCCGAACCCCAGGGAGGAGGUUCCUGACCCGAAUGUGCUGGUCCAAGGCGAGGUGGACAAGCCCCAAGGUACCCCUAAGUCCAGCCGGGGGGGGUGCUCCCCCA
ensembl:lncRNA